rnacentral:rRNA from 1 species
AUUGAACGCUGGCGGCAGGCCUAACACAUGCAAGUCGCGCGGAGCGGCGGACGGGUGAAUAAUGACUAGGAAUCUGCCUGGUAGUGGGGGAUAACGUCCGGACCCGGGCGCUAAUCCCGCAUACUAUACGAUCACCCUAGGUCAGAUUAGCUAGUAGGUGGGGUAAAGGCCUACCAAGGCGACGAUCCGUAACUGGUCUGAGAGGAUGAUCAGUAACACUGGAACGGAGACACGGUCCAGAAUCCUACGGUAGGCAGCAGUGGGGAAUAUUGGACAAUGGGCGAAAGCGUGAUCCAGCCAUGCCGCGUGUGUGAAGAAGGUCUUCGGAUUGUAAAGCACGUUAAGUUGGGAGGCGUUACCAACAGAAUAAGCACCGGCUAACGUCGUGACAGCAGCCGCGGUAAUAC